rnacentral:lncRNA from 1 species
AUGGGUAUAGCUCUUUCUCUUUCACCUCACUUCUGCUCUAUUUUAAAGAGGCCUGUGUCUUCAGUCUUUUUCAGGGGCCCUAUCGGAGACGUUGCCAUGGUUAAUGGUGUGUGCUGCUUCCUCUCUGAAAGGCAUUUCCAUUUAAGUCUAGCAGAUGAGAAGAAUCUGGGAUGUCUUUCAAGUCUAUGGGGUGGAUUAAGGUGGUUCACGCCAACGAAAUUCAACACUGGGAGACUGUCUGCCAGGAGAGGCGGCAGAGCUGCGGAGACUUUAUGCGGAGACUUUAUGCGAUCAGGACCUACCUGCCUCAGCAUCUGGAGGAGGGAGUUGGGGCCACAUGGGAAGCAGCAAGGUGAGAUUUAAAACAACCAGGCUAGGUCAGUGCAGCUGGUCCAGAGGUCCCUGCUGGCUUCCAAGCUUCCUGCCCCUCCUGUCCCCAGGAGGUGAUGUGACAAGAGUGUUAACUGGACAGAAUGCAGGAAAAGAAACUGCCUCAGAUCUUUGCUCCAGGCUUCACAGGGCUCCAGGAGGCGCUGAGGGAGUUUCAUUUGUAUAUUGUCUCAUAGACACAGAACUCGUUUUUAUUCCUUUGGUAUGACAAUUCAUUGCUUUGUACUCAUUUUUCCAACCUUUUCUGUGCUCUAGCCCAGAUGCCUUGGUUUGGAGAACUCAGUAGACAAAGUCAUAUUUCUCCCACCAUCCACACCAUAUAUUUGGGCCCUGAUUAAUUAAGUACUCAACUCCAUCUGUGCACCUUCCCGUAGUGUUCUCCAGAGACAGGGAAGUGUAAGUCUUGUGCCCUGCACAUAAUCAGCCAACUCCUUGGAGAGGGAAGCAUGUCUACACAUUCCGCAGCCAGCCCAGGGCACAGGAACAGCUAUUUCAUUGUUCUAGAGUCACCUCGUAGUGGUCUGUUCCCCAGCUUCUAUGUGCGUGUGCGUGUGUGUAUUUCUCAGCUGCGGACACUUUCGAGAGUGAAAGUGUGUUGGGUUUAGUAACACUGUGGGGCAUCAGGCAUACACAGGGACUGUCCCAAGACAACACGGGCCAUCAGGUCAGCCCAUCUCUCACAUGUGCUGUGCCUAGGGACAGAGUACAAAAGGAGGCCCAUCUAUGAUGUCUAAGCUUUCCUCACUUGUUAUGCAUAGAGUUAGGAAAGUAUUAAAUAAAUAUGCACCAUCCCCUGCCA